GACGAACGCUGGCGGCGUGCCUAAUACAUGCAAGUAGAACGCUGAAGGAGGAGCUUGCUCUUCUGGAUGAGUUGCGAACGGAUGAGUAACGCGUAGGUAACCUGCCUGGUAGCGGGGGAUAACUAUUGGAAACGAUAGCUAAUACCGCAUAAGAGUAGAUGUUGCAUGACAUUUGCUUAAAAGGUGCAAUUGCAUCACUACCAGAUGGACCUGCGUUGUAUUAGCUAGUUGGUGGGGUAACGGCUCACCAAGGCGACGAUACAUAGCCGACCUGAGAGGGUGAUCGGCCACACUGGGACUGAGACACGGCCCAGACUCCUACGGGAGGCAGCAGUAGGGAAUCUUCGGCAAUGGACGGAAGUCUGACCGAGCAACGCCGCGUGAGUGAAGAAGGUUUUCGGAUCGUAAAGCUCUGUUGUAAGAGAAGAACGAGUGUGAGAGUGGAAAGUUCACACUGUGACGGUAUCUUACCAGAAAGGGACGGCUAACUACGUGCCAGCAGCCGCGGUAAUACGUAGGUCCCGAGCGUUGUCCGGAUUUAUUGGGCGUAAAGCGAGCGCAGGCGGUUAGAUAAGUCUGAAGUUAAAGGCUGUGGCUUAACCAUAGUACGCUUUGGAAACUGUUUAACUUGAGUGCAAGAGGGGAGAGUGGAAUUCCAUGUGUAGCGGUGAGAUGCGUAGAUAUAUGGAGGAACACCGGUGGCGAAAGCGGCUCUCUGGCUUGUAACUGACGCUGAGGCUCGAAAGCGUGGGGAGCAAACAGG
rnacentral:rRNA from 1 species